rnacentral:misc_RNA from 1 species
GAUGAAUCAGGCACCCCAGAGGAGAGAGCGGCGUUCAUGAGGGAGGUGGAAACUUUUUACAGGGACAAUGCCCUGGAAUUCAAGCCCCCUAAGUUUUAUGGAGAGCCAAUAAACUGCCUUAAGUUAUGGAAUGCUGUUAUCAGACUGGGUGGCUAUGAUGUGGUCACUGCUUCCAAGUUGUGGCGGCAAGUAGGAGAGUCUUUCCAUCCCCCUAAAACCUGCACAACAGUUUCUUGGACAUUCCGAAUAUUCUACGAGAAGGCACUUUUGGAAUAUGAAAAGCAUAAGAGGCAAAAUGGUGAGAUUCAACUCCCUGGUUCACCCCUGCAUCAGCCUUCUGU